GACGAACGCUGGCGGCGUGCUUAACACAUGCAAGUCGAACGGAAAGGCCCUGCUUUUGUGGGGUGCUCGAGUGGCGAACGGGUGAGUAACACGUGAGUAACCUGCCCUUGACUUUGGGAUAACUUCAGGAAACUGGGGCUAAUACCGGAUAGGAGCUCUUGCUGCAUGGUGGGGGUUGGAAAGUUUCGGCGGUUGGGGAUGGACUCGCGGCUUAUCAGCUUGUUGGUGGGGUAGUGGCUUACCAAGGCUUUGACGGGUAGCCGGCCUGAGAGGGUGACCGGCCACAUUGGGACUGAGAGACGGCCCAGACGCCUACGGGAGGCAGCAGUGGGGAAUAUUGCACAAUGGGCGGAAGCCUGAUGCAGCAACGCCGCGUGCGGGAUGACGGCCUUCGGGUUGUAAACCGCUUUCGCCUGUGACGAAGCGGGAGUGACGGUAAUGGGUAAAGAAGCACCGGCUAACUACGUG
rnacentral:rRNA from 1 species